UACAGAGGGUGCGAGCGUUGUUCGGAAUUAUUGGGCGUAAAGAGCUCGUAGGCGGUUUGUCGCGUCUGCUGUGAAAAUCCAGGGCUUAACCCUGGACCUGCAGUGGGUACGGGCAGACUAGAGUGGCGGUAGGGGAGAUCGGAAUUCCUGGUGUAGCGGUGAAAUGCGCAGAUAUCAGGAGGAACACCGGUGGCGAAGGCGGGUCUCUGGGCAACAACUGACGCUGAGGAGCGAAAGCGUGGGGAGCGAACAGG
rnacentral:rRNA from 1 species